CAGCCGCCGCGGUAAUACGGAGGGUGCAAGCGUUAAUCGGAAUUACUGGGCGUAAAGCGCACGCAGGCGGUCUGUCAAGUCAGAUGUGAAAUCCCCGGGCUUAACCUGGGAACUGCAUUUGAAACUGGCAGGCUAGAGUCUUGUAGAGGGGGGUAGAAUUCCAGGUGUAGCGGUGAAAUGCGUAGAGAUCUGGAGGAAUACCGAUGGCGAAGGCAGCCAUCUGGCCUAACACUGACGCUGAGGUACGAAAGCAUGGGGAGCAAACAGGAUUAGAUACCCCUGUAGUCCCUGUCUCUUAUAC
rnacentral:rRNA from 1 species